AACGCACAUUGCGCCCCUUGGUAUUCCGAGGGGCAUGCCUGUUCGAGCGUCAUUACACCACUCAAGCCUGGCUUGGUAUUGGGCGCCGCGGGGACCCCCCGCGCGCCUCAAAGUCCUUCCGGCUGAGUCGUCCGUCUCCAAGCGUUGUGGUAAAACAUCCGCGGCGAGACCGGGCGGCGCGGCCGUUAAAUCUUUGACACAGGUUGACCUCGGAUCAGGUAGGGAUACCCGCUGAACUUAA
rnacentral:misc_RNA from 1 species